rnacentral:tRNA from 1 species
GGGCGCUUGGUCUAGGGGUAUGAUUGUAAGGGUCUCCACCUCAGGUCGUGGGUUCAAUUCCCACAGCGUCCA